rnacentral:rRNA from 1 species
CAGGCCUAACACAUGCAAGUCGAGCGGACCAUUCCUUCGGGGAUGGUUAGCGGCGGACGGGUGAGUAACACGUAGGCAACCUGCCUGUAAGAUCGGGAUAACUACCGGAAACGGUAGCUAAGACCGGAUAGCUGGUUUCCCCGCAUGGGGGAAUCAUGAAACACGGGGCAACCUGUGGCUUACGGAUGGGCCUGCGGCGCAUUAGCUAGUUGGUGGGGUAACGGCCCACCAAGGCGACGAUGCGUAGCCGACCUGAGAGGGUGGUCGGCCACACUGGGACUGAGACACGGCCCAGACUCCUACGGGAGGCAGCAGUAGGGAAUCUUCCGCAAUGGGCGCAAGCCUGACGGAGCAACGCCGCGUGAGUGAUGAAGGUUUUCGGAUCGUAAAGCUCUGUUGCCAAGGAAGAACGCCUCGGAGAGUAACUGCUCUGAGGGUGACGGUACUUGAGAAGAAAGCCCCGGCUAACUACGUGCCAGCAGCCGCGGUAAUACGUAGGGGGCAAGCGUUGUCCGGAAUUAUUGGGCGUAAAGCGCGCGCAGGCGGUCUUUUAAGUUUGGUGUUUAAGCCCGGGGCUCAACCCCGGUUCGCACUGAAAACUGGGAGACUUGAGUGCAGGAGAGGAAAGCGGAAUUCCACGUGUAGCGGUGAAAUGCGUAGAGAUGUGGAGGAACACCAGUGGCGAAGGCGGCUUUCUGGACUGUAACUGACGCUGAGGCGCGAAAGCGUGGGGAGCAAACAGGAUUAGAU